UCGGGAAUAUUGCGCAAUGGAGGAAACUCUGACGCAGUGACGCCGCGUAUAGGAAGAAGGUUUUCGGAUUGUAAACUAUUGUCGUUAGGGAAGAAAUUGACAGUACCUAAGGAGGAAGCUCCGGCUAACUAUGUGCCAGCAGCCGCGGUAAUACAUAGGGAGCAAGCGUUAUCCGGAAUUAUUGGGUGUAAAGGGUGCGUAGACGGGAAAUUAAGUUAGUUGUGAAAUCCCUUGGCUUAACUGAGGAACUGCAACUAAAACUGGUUUUCUUGAGUAUUGGAGAGGAAAGUGGAAUUCCUAGUG
rnacentral:rRNA from 1 species